GUGCUCACUUCGGCAGCACAUGUACUAAAAUUGGAACGAUAUAGAGAAGAUUAGCAUGGCCCUUGUGCAAGGAUGAAACACAAAUUUAUGAAGUGUUACAUAUUUUU
ensembl:snRNA RNU6-610P RNA, U6 small nuclear 610, pseudogene